rfam:Citrus clementina cultivar Clemenules unplaced genomic scaffold scaffold_2, whole genome shotgun sequence.
GGUACAACGGGAUAUUGGUGCGGUUCAAUAAGAAAACGGUGCUCAAUACUUUUUGAGCUCCGCUUUUUGAUUGAGCCGUGCCAAUAUCACGUGCCACUCG